AUUGAAGACUUUACAUAAAAAAACCCCACAAAUUACUGAGGAUCAGAUUGCUCCCAAUAUUAAAGAAAAACAACGCAUUAGGUAAACAGAAAAUACCAUGAGCUUCAUCUAAAAAAAAUUCUCUUCCUCAUCAAUCCAGCUGGGACUGAAAGUUUCACUACUUAAACCAGGGUGGAUAUUGGUGGAAUAUGGAGAUCCAGGACCAUGCAGUAUGCAGGGCUGGAGACAGUUCUUAUAGCCUUGCUGACGAGAGUAAUGGAUCAAGCUUGUAUUGUGUCCAACAUUUAAAAGCAUUGUGGUACCACUCACCAAUUGCACUGACCAUCUCACAUACUAUUCAAGGGUUAAAACCUUUGUUUAGAGGCUGAAAAUCAUCUUUAAACAUUUCCAAGUAAAAAUGAACUUGUAUUAGGAACUGCAAGGGAUUUACCAUGGCUAUCUUAGAGUUUGUUCCUUUCAAGAAUACCAAUAUAUGAUUUUAAAUAUAGGAAUAUAUUUGCAAGCAUUUACUGUAGCUUCAAAAUGCUACAGAAUGGCUUAGCUUGUCUGCUGGAUCCUGCAUACUUUUCAGCUGAAUUCAUAAUAAAACUGUUAUUACUUCUAAAGAAGCAGAAUUAUUUUGGGCUCUAGGAUUCUGUUACUUAUUUUGGGUGGACAUUGGCGGAUGGAUAAAAACUCCGAUUAUUCAAAUUCUCUUGUCACUGCUUUGAGUUAGAAUUGUAAUAAAUUGAAAAAGCAGCAGCACAGCUUUACAAUUUGCAGAAUUAAAAAAAUAGCUAAGUUAGAAAUUUAGCUAGCUAGUAAUUUUUCUGGCAUACACUGUUUUACCCUUUAACUAUGGGUGAAACCCAGAUUGGUCAUAUAAUCGCCUAACUGGGAUUUAGCUCAAAUUUAGCUCAUUUUUUAAAACUCAGAAUAGCCUUGCUCCAGCAGCCACAACACCUUUUGGGCACCUAAAUUCUUUAGAUGAUUUACAUGUUGUGCUGUGAAGAUGCCUCCAUGUAUAAAUUUAGGCUUCUUUAUACAGUAUAGUUAAAAGUUGUAAGACCCAGGAAGGCUGAUGGAUCUUACAGUAUUCCUGGAUCUUACAGCUGCACCUCCAGAAAUGUAAUAUAUCUCAUUCAAUACACCAAAUGCCCUGAUGGAAAAUAUGUAGUUGAGACCAAACAACAACUGUGCAUCAGAAUGAAUGCACACCGGAAAUCUAUCAAAGACAAUACCCAAUUACCUGUGGGGGGCACAUUUCUCACAAGAAAACCAUUCUCUCUCCAAUCUCUUAGUUCUAAUUCUAAAAGGUAAUUUACAAAAUGCCUUUCACAGACAAGCCUACAAACUUCACUUCAUCAACCUACUGGAUAUAAAAAAGCAUGCUCUAGAUAUAGACACUGGAUUUAUGACACAUUAUAACCUGCCUAACACCUGACUCCCCAGGUACCUCUCCAAUAUUUACCAGCUACAUUCAUUCCCCCCUCCACCUCCUCCCAAUCUGUCUCUCACCCACUGACUCCUCAAUUUACAUCUUCACUGACUGCCCAUCUUGCAUGCAUACCAGCCUCUGGCUUCUUUAACUAUUCUGGGAUUGGCCGCUAGGGUCCCCCCCCCCCCCACAGUUGCUGACUGGUGUCACGGGGGGCACAAGAGGCACUAGACACCUAUGCCCACUGAGGUGUUGGGGCUUAAAGCCCACUUUAUGGAAAUGGGAGGUUCCCUCCUAGCUUGCUCCUGCAGCCAUGUGGCUGACGGCAGGUGAAACUUGGGGGCAUCUGAACCUCAAACCUCUGGGCUUGGGCCUGCAUGUAGGAUGUCUGCCAAAAGACUCUGGAAAUAUCUGAAACCCCUGGUGGGGGUGGAGGAUGUUUGCCAGUUGUAGGGCCACUUAUGGUUCUGGACUGACUCAUGGAUUUGGACUCGAUUUGGCUUGGAACACAAAACAUUUCUUCAAAAAACCCCCAAAACCUUCAUGUCACUGAGUCUUUUUAAGAGUCUUUAAGAGACCCCAGACACUCUGAUCUUCCACUCAGAUACCUUCAUGGGUUCUCCUAUAUCAACUUAUCCUUCUAAGAUGGCUUUAGUACAGAAUCCAACAACUUUUCAGGUAACUUUCAGCACCUAUCCAUCUGCCACAACUGCAAAGUUUCGUGCUUGCCCCCAUCCUAAGCACACCAAUGCUUGAGGCAGCACAUAUAGACCUUAAUUAGAGCAUUUAUGGUUGGUCAAACAAUAUCUGCUUAUAUGUAAGUAUUUAAUGAGUCAAUUUAAAAUAAUUUGCAUAUACAUAAAACACACGGUGUUGCAAAAUUUUGAGGAAGGUCAUUUACAUACACCAUAUUGAUGUUGAUUUGUUUAUGGCAUGUUAGAGCAGAUCAGAUGUGAUUGUAGAGAAAUAAAAGAUUAAUUGAAAUAGAUUCUCUCUCCACAGAAAGGGUUAAGAAUCAUUGCAGACCCCCCACUACAAAAAUGAAAGGAUAAGUUUCUCAGUUCUGUUCCAUCCCCUUUAUGCCUGAUAAGAGUCUUCACUGGCAUGAAGGGGCAUAAUGUUUUGAACUUCUCUGGGAAAGCUAAAAAAAACAGAAUUAAUGAAAGUAAUUGAUACACAAGUUGAAUGAAGAUGGGUUCCUGUGGAUAUUCUGUGAGGUGUAAAAACUUAAAUAAAGAGACAAGGCUAAAAUGCAUGACAACAUUUUAUAUUCAAAAUAUUUUUGGUUUCUCUUGUGUGUCAUUCAAAAGCCGGUAGCUUAUUGUAGUUUUGUUAAGAAUGUACUUUAUUUAAAGAUCAUUCAUGUAAGCACUCCUUUUCAAAUUUUGAAAAUGUAUUACUAAGUAAUUAAUGCUAUAGCAAUAAUUCCACUGUAAUUGUAGAAAAGAUAUAUUACUACUAGUCAUUACCUGGCACUGUUUUUGGUACAUUUUUAGUUCCUGUUGGAACUUCAGAUUUUCCUCUUCUAGUUUAUUUCUGUUUAUGGCUAUUUCAUUCACAGUAAACUUUAAUUUUUCAAUAAUGAA